rnacentral:rRNA from 1 species
UACGAGGGGGGCAAGCGUUGUUCGGAAUUAUUGGGCGUAAAGGGUGUGUAGGCGGUGCGGUAAGUCUUUAGUGAAAUCUCUGGGCUCAACCCAGAGUCUGCUGGAGAAACUGCCGUGCUUGAGUGUGGGAGAGGUGAGUGGAAUUUCCGGUGUAGCGGUGAAGUGCGUAGAUAUCGGAAGGAACACCUGUGGCGAAAGCGGCUCACUGGACCACAACUGACGCUGAGACACGAAAGCUAGGGGAGCAAACAGG